ensembl:lncRNA
GUUCACCCAGAAAUUAAAAUUCUGUCAUUUAUUCACCCUCAUGUCAUUCCAGAUCUGUAUGACUUCUUCUGUGGAACAUAGAAGAUUAUCUGAGAAUUAAAUAAAUUGAGAUAAAUGUAUUUUUUUAUAUAAUGAAAGUCACAAUGGUAACCAAAAGUGUUUGUUUACCAACAAUAUUUUGGUUACCAAAAUAUCUUCUUUUAUGUUCCACAGAAGAAAGAAAGUUGUACAUUUGCAAUGACAUGAGGAUGAUUAAAUAUUCAUGUUUGAGUUAACUAUGGCUUUAAGAUGACACUUUUAUUUCUUGCUUUCUCUUUCAAUCAAAAUUCAAUCAGAAAAUCUCUUCCGCAUCUUAUCAAAAUUCUGUACGUUGAAAAGUUGAGAUGUGUACAGUGGUGUGUGUUCAGUGUAAAAAUAGGUGGGUGAUUACCGACUAAAAUUAAAGGAAAUGUUCACCAAAAAAUUAACAUUUUUCCAAUGUAAUAGUAAUAUUAUGUAUAGAGGAUUCGUAUUUUAGCAGGAAGCAACCGUUUGAAGCUAAAAGCAUCUUAAUGAUGAAUUUGUUCAUUACAAACACGCAGCUUUUCACUUCACAAGACGUUAAUGGAUGGACUGGAGCCAUGUGGAUUACUGUGAUGUUUUUAUGAGCUGUGGAACUCUUAUUCUGAUGGCACCCAUUCACUGCAGAGGAUCCACUGUGGCCUUUUGUGGCAGGAUGGCCUGCUUUAAUGGGGGUGGCAGCCUGCUGCAUCGCUCUGGACUGUGGCCAGAUGCAGUGGUCUGACUGUUACUGCUGUGACAGGGCAAAACUGGGAGCACUGCAGAGGAUUAAAUCACUGGAAUAUGGACCCACAGUACCCUCAGUACCCUCUGUUGUAUUGAGAUAUACCUGUCAUCAUUUCUAGUUCAGAUAACGGUAAUUUGUGCAUAAUGUCAAACUUAUAUACAUGCAGAAAUAGUGGUGUAAGUGGUGUUACUGUAAGACCAUAAUCAUUAAUACCACAUACACCACAAAAGGCAACAAGAAGCAAAAGAGAGAGAGAGAGAGAGAGAGAGAGAGAGAAAUAUACAUAUAUAUAUAUAUAUAUAUAUAGAGAGAGAGAGAGAGAGAGAGAGAGAGAGAGAGAGAGAGAUACAUAAUAAGCAGCAAUAGUGGUGUCAUUAUUUAUAGGUUUAAAUCCUGAGUACAUGCAUUCAGUGCACAAUAACAUGUUAAUGAUCCAUUUUCAGCGCCAUAUUCAUAUAUCUGUACCAUCAUGUUUAAUGUCAAUAUAUUUUAUGACACUAUUUUAUAUGCUGUCCAGACCAUAUAACAUUCUUAUUGCAAGACCAUAAUAAAAAUGUAAAAUUACUGUUUUAUGCCA